rnacentral:rRNA from 1 species
UAAUACGUAGGGGGCAAGCGUUGUCCGGAAUUAUUGGGCGUAAAGCGCGCGCAGGCGGUCUUUUAAGUCUGGUGUCUAAGUGCGGGGCUCAACCCCGUGAUGCACUGGAAACUGGGAGACUUGAGUGCAGAAGAGGAGAGCGGAAUUCCACGUGUAGCGGUGAAAUGCGUAGAGAUGUGGAGGAACACCAGUGGCGAAGGCGGCUCUCUGGCCUGUAACUGACGCUGAGGCGCGAAAGCGUGGGGAGCAAACAGGAUUAGAUACCCUGGUAGUCCACGCCGUAAACGAUGAGUGCUAGGUGUCGGAGGGGUCCACCCUGCGGUGCCGAAGUUAACACAUUAAGCACUCCGCCUGGGGAGUACGGUCGCAAGACUGAA